CACGUAGGGUGCGAGCGUUUGUUCGGAAUUACUGGGCGUAAAGGGCGCGUAGGCGGCCUGCUAAGUCACACGUGAAAUCCCUCGGCUCAACCGGGGAACUGCGUGUGAUACUGGCGGGCUUGAAUUCGGGAGAGGGAUGUGGAAUUCCAGGUGUAGCGGUGAAAUGCGUAGAUAUCUGGAGGAACACCGGUGGCGAAGGCGGAUCUCUGGGCCGAUACUGACGCUGAGGAGCGAAAGCGUGGGGAGCGAAGAGGA
rnacentral:rRNA from 1 species